rnacentral:rRNA from 1 species
CCUACGGGUGGCAGCAGUGAGGAAUAUUGGUCAAUGGUCGCGAGACUGAACCAGCCAAGUAGCGUGAAGGAUGACUGCCCUACGGAUUGUAAACUUCUUUUGUAAAGGAAUAAAGGCAGGCACGUGUGCCUUGUUGUAUGUACUUGAUGAAUAAGCAUCGGCUAACUCCGUGCCAGCAGCCGCGGUAAUACGGAGGAUGCGAGCGUUAUCCGGAUUUAUUGGGUUUAAAGGGUGCGUAGGCGGGCUGUUAAGUCAGCGGUAAAAGCCCGGGGCUCAACCCCGGCGCGCCGUUGAAACUGGCUGUCUCGAGAUGUAGAGAGGUAUGCGGAAUGCGCAGUGUAGCGGUGAAAUGCAUAGAUAUUGCGCAGAACUCCGAUUGCGAAGGCAGCAUGCCGGCGGCGCACUGACGCUGAGGCACGAAAGCGUGGGUAUCGAACAGGAUUAGAUACCCUUGUAGUC